UACGGGGGGGGCAAGCGUUGUCCGGAAUCAUUGGGCGUAAAGCGCACGUAGGCGGCCAACUAAGUCAGACGUGAAAUCCCUCGGCUUAACCGGGGAACUGCAUCUGAUACUGGAUGGCUUGAGUUCGGGAGAGGGAUGCGGAAUUCCAGGUGUAGCGGUGAAAUGCGUAGAUAUCUGGAGGAACACCGGUGGCGAAGGCGGCAUCCUGGACCGACACUGACGCUGAGGAGCGAAAGCCAGGGGAGCAAACGGG
rnacentral:rRNA from 1 species